AUUUAAAUAGUUUAAAAAAAAUAUUGAUUUGUGGAGUCAAAGAUAUAAAUAAUAUUUUAAAUU
rnacentral:tRNA from 1 species